CUAACUCUGACUACUGAAAUACUGAAGCUGCUAAAAAUACUGAAAUAAAAGUAUAUCCUCGAUAGAUGAAGACUCACUACUAAAAUUUCUGCUGCUAUCUGAAUCUGUCUAAGCGCGGUCGGAGACCUAAGCGUCCGGACCUAUGAUAUAAGACAUCAUAGCGAAAAGACAAAGUAUGCAUUAGUAUAUGGAAUGUACUGGUAUGCUAGGUGAGGUAAGGCUGAAUGCAAGGGUUCAUAUGCAUAAACAGUAACUGACUGAUUGAUAUGAAGUAACUAAAUGAGAGCAUAUGGAAUACUGAAACUACUGUAAAUACUGAGUAUGUAAUGCUGCAUAUAUAUAUAUAUAUACACACUCUAUCUGACAUUAUUACUAAAACUGAGUUUGAGUUUUGAUAACUGAGUUACUGAGAUCUGAGAUUACUGAUAACUGUAUUAUUGAAAACUGGGUAACUAUUUCUGAUAGUCCUAAUUCUAUAGAACUGAACUAAGUUCUAUACUGAGCUGGGUGACUGUGUCUGACAGUCCUGAUUCUGUAGAACUGAAUUGAGUUCUAUACUGAGUCUGAAACUAAACUUAAACCAUAGGAAGUAAUCAUCUAACCGACAUGCCCCAAAUAAGAUAAAUGGGGUCCAACCUGUAACCCCAGUUGGAAGGGUGUCAGUACCGUACCACGAGUAAAGACAACUGAAGAGUCACCCUCAUCUGGAAGGUGCCCUAAAUAAGAAUGGUGCUACCCUCAACUGACAAGUAGAAACACCUUAUCAACCCUCAACUAGCACGUUGAUAUCUCAACCUACGCUAGCUACAUAUUUCUGGAAUACAAGGACUGCUUCUAAGGGUCACACCCUCUACUGGAAGGUGAGCCCCAUCCUUGGGUUCACUCAGUGCUGAAUCCUUCUCUCAACUGAAUAAACACUGAACUGUACUAAGCUUGACUGAACUGUUACUGAUCGUGCUGUCUAACUGAACUGGACUGAGUUCACUGAGUUCUGUUAACUGGUUGAACACACUGAGUUCUAUAACUAACUGAGUACUACUGUACGUGACAUCACUGAGACUAUUUUGUAACUAAUAUAGCUCUAGGUAAACAACUAGAUUUUCGAGUAUUGAAUAUCCCUAAGACUCGAUGGCAUUGAAAAUAAAGCAUAGCAUGAUCAUAAAAGCAUAACAAUACUUGUUUGUUGACACUGUACUCAUUUGGACAUUUUGUCAAACACUGGAUAUACAUGAACUUGUGCAUGAAUGGGAUCACAUAAUGACAUGUCGUAGUUUCACUAUCCAAUUCGGAUAGGCAUUUCAUCAAACACUUGGGGAGCAUGGUUAUUUCAAAUAUUAAUAGUCAACACAUGAACAUCAUGGAUGCAAUAAUCAAUUGUAAAUUCAAUGGUUUAUUAUGAUAAGCACAUAUUAAUCACACAUGCUAUUUAAUUUUAUGAAACUUGCAAUUUAAGCAUGGAUUGAAACCCAAUUAAUAUCAUGAACAUGAAUACAAUCAAUUUCAAGGAUGAACACCUAACAUACCUUGGUAAUCAAAUUCGUGAAGAUUGAUGGUGUACUGUUGAAGCUUGAAUUUGAAUUUGGAUACCCUAGGGUUUGUUCUUUAGAAAAUUUGAGAGAAAAUGAGUGAUUUAGCCUUUAAAGUAGGUUAAUCUCAUGUUUUUGGGUCUAAUUAAGGGUAGAGAAAUGACCCAAAUUUCGGUGUUUUAAUGACUGAAAACGUGCCCAGCGAUGCGCAGAUCGACGCGCCGCGUCGAUGGGGUCAACGCAAUAACUGAUGCGCCGCGUCGAGUUCGCGUUGGCUCACUGGAAUUUGCACUGAAUGCUGGAAAAAAUAUCCGUCGACACGAUGGGCGACGUGACACAUCGAGAUCGCGUUGAUCCACUAUUUUGGUCACCCAAACAAGCUUCAAAUGAGGUCCAAAAAAUUCAAAACUCACCCAAAGUGACCUGUGGACACACUUGAUCAGGACUUAAUCCAAGGAUCGACAUUUUAAGGUCAUAAGGGUCGUAAAAUAAGAUCGACAAAUUAUGAAGGCUAAAAUAAUUCUAAGUGUAAACACUUAGCUAAAAUUUCUAAGUCUAAGACCUUAUACUCUAAAGGGCUGAGUCAAGCUAGGAUUUUGCGGGGUCUUACAAAUAAUAUUGUGCAGUGUUUAUAACCCUUGACUUACCUAGUCCAUUAAAGUAUUUGUUUCUAUUUGUACUUGGUUAUUUGUCUCAAAUUUUAAAGAUAUAGAAUGCACAAAGGGAAUUUUUUGUCACUAUCCAAAAUGACAAAUUUGUCAGAACAUGAUGGUGAGAUAAUCUUAAAGCUAACAAAGUAUUUAUGACGAAAGUAAUAGUGCAGUGAAACAAGCGAGAAAUUAAGGUGCGUUAGGGCACCAUUCUAAGCUAAUUAAGAACUGUUUAAUUAGUCUACAUCAUCAGAAAUUGGAUAAGAGUUCAAACUACCUCGAAAGGAAGGUGUUAGGUACCUUUUGAGGUCCACAAAUGUGAUUCUCGACCGAAUUCAUGUUUUACGUGGAGAUUCUACGUGAUAAACGAAGGUCACUUAUUUUGAUAACUUACUGUUACUAAAAGAUAAAAUAUGAAUAAACAUGACAUGUAAUCUAAUUAUUAUUUAAUAUACUAAUUAUUUAAGUGAUUAAAUAAAUAAACAUAUAAACUAGACAAGUGAGGAGACAGAAGUUACACAAUUUAUAUAGCAAAGAAAUAACUUGUAUAAUAAGCCUAACUACUCCAAACAAAUAAGGAUAUAAAGUAAAGAAGAGAAGCAAAUUUGCAAGAUUGGACAAAGGAUUUAUUUUAUUUUAUUCGGAUUAGCACCAAACUUAUUAAAUAUUCCCCAAUAUUCCCCAGCUCGUUAACCAGUAGUCGGGUUAUUAAUGGGUGAUAAUGUCGUAUGUCGUGUUGUUGAAUUAUGCUUGGGUCACCAUAAUCUCCGAGUUUCUACUCACCCUCACCUAGUUUGUUUAUGAAGCUUAGAGAGGCAUUAUAAAAGAGAUGAUAACAACUAGUGUUCCCUAAAAUGCCUAUUCAUCCCAACUUACUGUCCAAGAGGUAUUGGAAUUUUCUGCUUUGAAUUUGGGGUCUAGACAAGAAACUAGGCUUCCUAAUUAGACAGAGUGUAUCAAGCAAUAAGCACAACAUUUAGCACAUAAGUCUCAAAUAGAUCCUCUUGGUUAAUUAAGAAUAUAAGUCUCAAAUAGAUCCUCUUGGUUAAUUAAGAAUGGAUUAGGUGAUUUAACAUGCUUAAAACUAAUUAUUCGUGUGCGUAAUUAGGACUAUUGGCAUGAUGUCUAACGUCCAACGACGAGUUGACAUAUUUGAAGCAUUAUAGAUAUAAACAAAACGUGAUGGAAUAAUUGAAACCAAAUGUUUCUUAAAUGAAAGCUGAAGAAAUAACAUGCUGGAAAGUUUACAUAAUUUCUAUAUAAGUGAUUUCCAGGUGAGAGGUUAUCAUACAUAUGUUGGGAUUGAUUGUAAUGUCUACAAACAAACAAUAUAUGCUGAAAAUUGAUACGCAGUCAUUAUUUUAGAUGUGCUAAAAAUAAUAUAAAUAUGCUGGAACUUACUUUAAAGUAUUAAAAAUUCAAUUUUAUAUGCUGAAAAGUGACAUAAACAUGAUGAAAAUUAUUUCUUAAAUACUGAAAAUUUUAUUUAAUAUGUUGAAAAUUGUUAUUUUAAUGCUGAAAAAUAAUUUAAUACAUGAAAAAUUAUUAUUUUGUAUACUGAAAAACAAUUUAACAUGUAGAAAGUUAUUAUUUGAAUGUUGAAAAAUAAUUUAAUGUGUAGAAAGUUAUUAAUUGAAUGCAGAAAAAUAAUUUAAUAUCUGAAAUACUAACAAAAUAUAUUAGAAAUCGUUAACCAAAUUGAAUUGGAUUGUCCGAAAUCAAUUUUAAUAGUUAAUAACCUAAAGGCAUGGUUUCUAAGUGUCUAGAUUGUUUGCCUAAGUGAGAAGAAUUAAAUUAACUUGUUAAAUUAUUAAAUAAUCAUAUAGCCAUGAUAUCUAAGUGCAAAAACAAUCAAAUCACAAAAUCCCUGCCCCCCCUAUAAGAAGUCUCCAUAACUUCUACUUUCACAUAGCGUUCAUACAAUAAUAUUACAGACCGAUGAAUGAAAGAAAAACAGAGACUAAACUAUGAAGAAAUAGGCUGCCCUUUCUCAAAUUUCAGGGCAACUCUUCAAAUCCCACACAUUCUUCAAGGACACCUGUUAGAUACAAGAAAAAUAGCGGAACAAGUACAGAAAGAAUCAAAGUACACCAAAACAUGAUCCCAAACAGAGAAAACAAUGAAGUAAAAGCAUAGCAAACAGAAAACACAAACAUUGAACAAUUACUUUGAAUUAGUUCUUAUAGGCAUGUUUUCUAACAUCAUAAAGUCAUCGUAUAAGAUAUGAAAAUUACAUCGAUAGAAGCUUACUGGUAAGCCGUAAAGAAAAUAAUAAAGAGGCCUUAGCAAAGUAAUUGAAGUAAUAGGGACAAAUUCGAAUGCCUUCUUCAAAAACCAAAAAUGCAAAAGAAAUUGAAAAUAUUUGUUAAUUUUUUGUAUAGAGAAAUAUAUCUAUUAGUGAGUAAAUAGUAGAAUGAAAGGUGUCCAAUAUGAAUGAAGAGGUUGUGCUUAUAUAGUGUGAAAAAGUUAAAUCAACCCAAUCAUAAAAGGAAAAAAAUGUUUAAUGUAAUCAAUCAAUGCAAAAAUAAAUCCAUAAAUAUAAAAAUCACCUUCAUAUCCAAUGAAUAAUAUAAAAUUAGUCAAAGCAGAUAAAAAGGGAAAAAAUCAAUCAUUCGAGAUUUUCUUUCUAGUCUGAGCACUAAUUAAGGUAGCGUUUAUCAAUAUAAAAUCGGUCCAACAUAAAAGAAAAGAAAGGAAAAUAUCAAUCAGCACAAUUUCAUAAAAGUGAGGAUCCAUGUAAAAUUCAAUCAAAGCGAUAAAAGGAAAAAAGAACAUUUAGAAUAAUCAAUUUACGAGAAUCUACUCCCAUAAAAUUAUCCAAAAGGAUCGAAAUAAGCCUCAUGUCCAAAUCAAAAAUAAAAGGCAAAGAGAAUCAAUAACAUACCCAAAAUACGUAAUUGUAAGAAAUAUGAGCAAACCCAUAUUUUUAAUUAAAAAGGACAAAUAAAGAUAAGAACCUUGAAUAAUCAAGAUUUAUCAAUCAAUCAUCACGAUUGUCAACAAAUAUGAUAUAUGGAGCAAUUCUUUAUAAUCGAAUCAUUUACCACCUUAAGAAAGUCAUAUUCUUAAACCAAAAGCAUGACUACAUCGAUCCAUGUAGAAAGAACCAUAUUCCACAAAUCACACAAAUCAGUAUUCAAAAUUUUUUAAGGUUAAAUGCAUGUUCAUCAAAAUUGGGCAUUUUCACAUAUGUCGGUCUAAGCACAUAAACACACAUGAGUUUGGAAGAUUCAACUCAACAUUCACUAUCAUAUAUCAUCAAUUUUGAAUCUAAUAAAAUCAGUCAGAAUAGAAAAAAAGAAAAGAAAGAGUAGAAGACAAUAAUAAACUGGCAUGGAAUUAAACUAAGAAGUCAAACCUGGACAGAUUCUUAUGAAUCCAUUGCAACAUUUUUGGCAAAAGCAAAAUCGUACAGUAACGACUAAUAUUGUUGUCCUUUCACCGUCACUUUACCCGCAGAUAAAGGAACAAAAAAGGAAGGCGGCGCCUGGUGGAGGCUUAUUGGUUGACAAACUGGUUAGCUCUCCUGUUCAUCGGUGGUGUCAUGGUGAAAUACGGAGGAGCAGCUGCAGCGGGGUGAGCUGGUUCGCGAGGCUGAUACUGGUUGCUGUGUCGACUGGAGAGGUGGGUUCUGGCAGUUGGGUAGCGACACUGGUAGGAGGUGAUUGGUUCGCCUUUGGUGCGACUGAUGGCUGGUUCAUUGGCGAGAGGUGAAGCGACAACAGUAAUGGGUUCUAUCGGUGAUUGUUAUCGGUCUGUGGGCAUCAGAGAUAACGUUGUUGUGUUCGUCGGUGGGGGAGGAGAGUUUGCUGGUGGCGUGGAGCAAUAAUCGGAGGGAGAGAGAAAGAAACAGUAGAGGGAGAGGUGAGAUGUGGCUAUUUGAGAGAAUAGGUUAGGGCUUUGAUUAAAAAGAAAAGAAAGAGGUGG
rnacentral:lncRNA from 1 species